AAAACUUCUUCUACAAAGGGAGUCUUUCUUGACCUUUAAAUUAAACUCUGUAUUCCCCAAAGGACUGAAUGAUAGGAUUGAUUUCACCUGUUAUCUUUAGUGAAUUGAGUAUUUCAGUUCACCAUGCAAGCCAUAGGGCACUUGCAACUUGAGAAAAAACACAGAGCCCUGCAAGAGUAACGACGUAAAUUGACUACAUUGAAAAGCCUUGAACUGAAGCAGGACCAAGCAAGUAAUUAAGAUUAAAGAGACAGCAAUAAAUCCACAACAUACCGCAGAAGAUUCUGAGAAUCUCAGUAAGAAGAAAAAUACCAUACAUCAAAAGACUAUUUAAGACCUUACAUAAAUAACAACAACCUGAAGAAGGACUUCCCGAAACGAGGCAGUGUACCCGGGAUUACUUGUUAAGACCGCGUUGCAUAGUUUUGUUCUACAUACACACAACAGCUGUGGACUGUUUUCCGUUGAGUUUGAUGUAUGCUUUACUUUAUAUGUUACUCAAUAAGGUUGUAUAAUUGUAUAUAUACCAUAAUUGUGGACUGUUUUCAGUUGGAGGUUUAUGUGUGUUUUGCUUUAUAUGUUUCACAAUAAGUUAGUACCCGGUUGGGACUGUAAAGAAAAUACUCUAUAUACUAGCAUACCACAAUACACACGCUAAAACCUA